AUCUGUGCCAGAUUUUGACAGUAUAAAUGUAGCCUGUUCUCAGAUCUCGGGCCCUCGGCUCCACAGAUGAAUCGUGGGCUGUGAUCUUCGUCCCUGGCAGGGCUUCAGCUCGCCCUCAUGUCUGCCAUCUGAUUCUACACCUGCCAAACAACAUGACCUCAUCGGCACGGCACGUUUUCCAGUUACACCUGGACAUAGAGAAAGACAUUGACAAGCAAAAAAUUAUGAAAUCCGGGACUUGAAAAUUAUUUAUCUUCUUUUGUCAGCCCAUCAGAGGGAUGGUCUUUAGCCCUGUUUAAGAAUUUAAACUUCGGCUGGAUUGGCUCUUGCCAUUUGACUCUGAAGAGGCUGACAGUGACAGAGAUGUGUGAAUGUCCCAGCAGAGGAUUCGAUCUGCACCGCAGGCCAAGUGUGCUGAAAUACACCGUUUAAUGUGCCAAUUGUCACUUGGUACAGCGAUUGCUUUUGAAGAAGAGCUAAUCGUUGGAUUUGCCAAAGUUUGCCAUCAGGUUAGUGAUAUCAGAGUGAUACCAGUGUUCUAGAAUAUAUUCUGUUUCGGUUUUUGUCUUUCUGUUUUCUGUGCAAGUAUUCACAAAUACCCAUGUGCUUUCUAAUUUAGAUAAACCACCUGUAAAUGUUUAAAGUGUUAAAAUGUUCAAGUAAAACAAACUAAAACUGAAUCGUGGACAGAAUAAGCUGCAAAUCGAGACGUUAGGCCACUAGUACACAUUCAUCCACGCAAGAUUUACAACAGGACAGGAUGCAGAUUUAUUUGUGAAUUCAGACAACAACUAACCAUUUUUCACUAAAACAUCCUGGGCAGCAAAUUAUUCAUACAGUAAACACAAACAUUGAUUCCAGUAGUUUUUGUCAUUGUUAA